GGUUUUCCGGCUAAUACAGGUCCUGAUGCUCUUCUGUCUUCACACAUGGUAUUCAUCAUAUCUUGACAAGAAAAGACCUUCAGUCUACAAAUAACCUUCACUGAAGUAAGACAUCUUUUGUACUUUAGAGAAGAAAAGAAGCAGAGAGAACAUCAGAUCUGGGAAGCACGUGCAUCAGCUGUUAUCAGUCACCCAGCUCACAGUCGUCUCAUUAAUGUGGAUUCAGAAGAAGAUACUUGCUUGUCACAAUGCUUUCAGUGCAGUCACUUUUCUUUUUCUGUGCAUCCGCCAUGACAUUAAUGAAAAG
rnacentral:lncRNA from 14 species